AUUGAACGCUGGCGGCAGGCUUAACACAUGCAAGUCGAACGAGUGGCGGACGGGUGAGUAAUGCUUGGGAAUCUGGCUUAUGGCGGGGGAUAACUACUGGAAACAGUAGCUAAUACCGCAUACCAUCAGCUGAACCCAUAUGGGAUUAGCUUGUUGGUGGGGUAACGGCUCACCUAGGCAACGAUCCCUAGCUGGUUUGAGAGGAUGACCAGCCACACUGGGACUGAGACACGGCCCAGACUCCUACGGGAGGCAGCAGUGGGGAAUAUUGGACAAUGGGCGAAACCCUGAUGCAGCCAUGCCGCGUGUAUGAUGAAGGCCUUCGGGUUGUAAAGUACUUUUAGCAGAGAGGCGUUACCUGCAGAAGAAGCACCGGCUAACUCCGUGCCAGCAGCCGCGGUAAUAC
rnacentral:rRNA from 1 species